UAGAUAGAUAGAUAGAUGAUAGAUAUGUUACCUGUUUAGGGAAACUAUAGGCUUAGCAAUGAUGAGAGUUAAGAUGAAUGGAAUAAAGAUUUUUAGACAAUAAAAAUGCUCUCGGAGUGCCAUCUGGAACUUUGCAUCUUGUUUACGUUCACUAAACCCAUGUCUAGAUUUUAGAAAAUUCUCCUAUUAUGAUUGUUAAAAAUAAAGAUUUUUAGAAAAAAUCAAAAGUGCUGUAAAUUACCGCACACAAAUGUAAAGCAUACACUUAGUCUGUGAGCGGUGAGACGCGCGUUGGAGCCUGCAUUGACAUUUCACUGGGAGGGUGUUUUAACAUUUUAUAUUCUAUCUGAAUCAUCAAAGAAAGUUUUGUGUUUCAUGUCCUUUUAAGUCAGUGUGUAUGAAGUAAUUCCUAUGACUAAGUGCCACACGGCACGAAACGCGUAAGGACACGCCCCCUAUUUCCUCCAUUGCAAUCGUGUGUUUGUGUAUCGUUAUGUACCUGCUGGAUUAAAUAUCAGUUUUUUGCUGAUAUUAAGAGUGCUGCUUUUUUCUUUCAUUUGUGCAUUUUGGGAUUGCUUGUUCCCUUUUUUCUGAAGCCUGCACCUUUCGUUCACCUCAUGCUCUUAUCAAGACACUUUGCUGGAGUUUUGUUUACCCCGGUGUAAACAGACCGGUGAUUGAGAAGCGCUCCCUGUUUAGUUCACCUGUAGCCACGCCUCCCCUGUCUUUCUGUCUGUAUGAAGUAAUGUUUGACUGUAAAUCUUGAGAACAAUCGUUCUAAUGUGACUUUACACACUGGGUCUGAUUAUCAAAAACUCGUUGACAAGAAAAAUAAUCUCAUAAAAUCUUUGGAGGCUUAUUUGAGCAUUAUUUUGCAAUGCAACUGUCUUUUCUUCACAUCUGGAAACCUGUAUACCAGAGUUUGUCAAACCUGCCCGCAGGCCCCCCUAACAGGCCAGGUUUUCAGGAUCUCUGAACUGGAGCACAGGUGAAAUAAAUAGCUGAUUAGUAAACAGGGUUUUUAACCUCUCACCCAAUGUAAUCCAGAAAAUUUGGCCUGUUAGUAAGGCCUGAGGACAGUUAUGAAAAAAAUCCUGUUGUAUAGUGAGCUAAACAGAUCUCAAGCUAAAAUCUGCCUUUAUAAAGUUUAAAAGACUUCAGAGUGUUGAAGAGACUUUAGAUAAUCUCACAAAAGCAGAAAGCUUUAGGUAAUUGCUCCCCUGAGUGAUUCUAUGUUGUUUUUAACAUAUAUUCUGAACACAUUUUUAAGAAGAGUAUUAUGUAUGCUGCCGUUUUAUGUAUAGAGCACUUAUCUUUGAGCUAAAUGUGAAUACGAGUACAGUCCAUGUGGGGAGGUUUGUUUCGAGUUUACUCUGCAGUUUCUCACUAUGGGCGAAUGAUCUGAACGUCUCUGGGCUGGCGAGAUUAUUUAAGAAUUCUCACCAGCACUUCUAUUUCCCUGGUAGAAUUCUAUAAAGUCAGUUUUUACCCUAAAAACAGGGUGUCUCGCUAAACGGCGUACACUAGAUUUUCGUAUGGGAAGGAGAUGCAUACAUUACAAAAGUGUACAAUGAAAAUUUGUAUUUUAAAAAUUAUACAAAACGAAUAAUUGAACCAUUCACUCAAAUAUAUACAGCAAAAAGCCUGUAGCUAAGGUGCAUCAAAGAUCAUAACAAAAGGCUUCACAAAAAAUCAUAUCUUAUCAAAAACGUAAUAUUUGUAUGUAAAUUACACAGGAAUAAGUCAUAUUAAAUAUGCACAGUGUAAAUCAUAAUUUAUGUACACUGGAUGUGCAAAAAGCAUGUAGGAAUUCGUACUUAUAAUUACAAAAUACAAAACGCAAAUGUUUUUUUGUAAAAUGGGCUGAACAUUGGCGUAUAUGAAAACACGUGCAUAUGAAAAUAAAGGCGAUUGUAAGAUGAUAUACGCAGAAAGCAACAUAAUGUGAUUUAUAUUGGCUGCAAGAUUUACUCUGUUCCUGCUACCAACCCCUGCUCACUGCUAACCGCUAUACAGAGCGAAGUGUCCCUAUCCAGCGAGCUCAAUUACUUUCAACAGGAGACAUCUCGCCACAUGCAGGGACUGCCCCUUCUUUACAAUAAUUCCACCAGGGGAGCCCCUGCGAGGGUUGGUAUAUAUAAAAAAUAUAUAAAUCUGGUGUUGCAAGUUUUUUUUGCACUCCUUACCACCAUCCCCCAACCCUCCCAGUUCAGGUAUUUACAUUGAGAACUAGAGAGAUAAACCUCAUUUGGUACCUUGUGAUCUAUCAGACAGUGUUUCCAUAUAGAUAAAAUUAAAGAGAUUAACAGCUCUGGUAUCAAUAGGAUGAUGCUCCUGCCGAUAAUCAUACUUUUAGCUGUUUCCCCUGUCAGGUCCCAGUCUUCAAGCCUUUCAUCAUUGGUCUGCUCAAUAAGCAACUUGCUAGUUUCAGCAUUACAACUCAGCGAGCAAAUCAGCAGUGGGAUAUCUGUUACUGAACCGACACAGACCAAUGAUACGACAGCAUCUUAUACUUACAACAAUAACCAAAGUCAACCAACCAGUACCCAACUGACAUCUUCUAGCCCAAAUAAAAGUACCCUGUCAGUAAAUACCAGUAUCCCAGUGAACAACUCCAGUACAGGAACCAGUAACCUGUCAGGACAAACCAACGUCUCAGUUACCAAAUUCAGUACCUUAUUCCAACCAACAGGAAACAACUUCAUAACUUUAUGUGAGUUAAGUCAUAAUCUGUCAAAGUAAAUAAAAGCUUAACCUAGGUUACAACAUGGCAGCACAUAUUACUUUAUCUAAUAGUUCUCAUAUGUGCUCUGAGCUCCCUCAAACAUUUUUAUAAAAGCAAUUUAUUUCCUUUACAGUUUUUAUUUAUUUUUUGCAAUAUACAAGACGCUCACCAAAAAAUAUAUGUUUUUACCAGUUCAUCAUACAUACUGUAUAUGCAUUCAAGAAAAGUUCUAUGGGGGUCUUGGGGGAUACUGUGUUCCUUCAGACACACAUGUAGCACCCCCCUUGAGCUGCAAGGGGCUUUAUAUAUUAUGUGUGCUGUCUUUCAACUUUUUCAACACUUUUUUAGCCCCAUCCAAAUAUUAAAGGGACAGUCUAGUCAAAAUUAAACUUCCAUUAUUCAGAUUGGGCAUGCAAUUUUAAACAACUUUACAAAUUACUUUUAUCAUCAAAUUUGCUUUGUUCUCUUUUUAUAAUCUUUGUUGAAAGCUAAACCUAGGUAAGAGAUAAGAGGUGGCCUUGUACGGCUAAUUUCUAAGCCGUACAAGUCCGCCUCUUAUCUCAGUGCAUUUUGACAGUUUUUCACAGCUAGAAAGCACUAGUUCAUGUGUGCCAUAUAGAUAACAUUGUGCUCACUCCCUUGGAGUUACCUAGGAGUCAGCAAUGAUUGGCUAAAAUCAAGCAUGUAAAAAUAACUAAAAUAAGUGGCAGUCUGCAUAGGCUUAGAUACAUGGUAAUCCCAGAAGUUAAACUGUUAGUUCUUUAAUUAAUAGAAUAUCACCAUAAAUAUUAUCUCUGCGGUGUACUCCAGUCAUGUUUUAUGUAUAUAUAUAUAUAUAUAGAUAGAGAGAGAGAGAGAGAGAGAGAAUUCAUUGCGGAUAGAAUUCCAAAAUUCCAAAGGAGGAAGCCCCGUCUCUCCUGAUGACGAGGGGGUGAAACGCGCAUCGGCAAUUGGCUGACCGACCCAUGUGAUCUCCAUGCUUGUUUGGAUAGCGGAGCGGCGCAACUUUGAAAAGCGGAUCUAACUUCAAGGCUGUUUUUUGCAUCAAUAUAUGCGGCUAUGACUGAUGCCCUGCGGAUUAAGUGGAUAACAAGAAGGAUAAAAAGCAUGUAAGCAUCUUAGGAUGGCAGUACAAGAAGACGUAAGCACACAGGACAAUCUGAUCAUAACGUCCUGGUAAGGAAGAUCCUGACGAUAUCACUGAAGUCUGCAAUAAAGGUGCAGUUGACAGAGGGGUACUUUUAUACUUACAUUAUUGUACCCUCCUGUACCUUUUCUAUAACUCAUUGACUCCACUGUUUUGCUACCUCUACAACUUGCUCAAAAGUCGUCAGCUGUGCUUUUCCACUGUUGGCAUAAACAUCUUUUACCUUUGAUUCAUCUUGCUUUGCUGGCAAUUAACUAUCUAAAAUCCUGCCGCAUAUUCAAAUGUACUGGCUUUACUUUGACACUUUAACAACCUCUGCUUUAUGACAGUCUCAAAAGACUUUGGAAUUCUAUCCGCAAUGAAUUGUCUCUGAACGAACUGUCCAAAUAAGUUGUUUGACAACUGGAAUAUAUUUAAAUCUUGCAUGAGAUGUACUUGCAUUGUAACAUUGUCUUUUUUAGUAGUGGUUAACAUAUAUCGUCCUUUGCUAUUUAGCAACAUUGUGCACUUUAUGGUCUACACUAGUGAUGUUGCGAACCUAAAAAAAAGUUCGCGAACGGGCGAACUGGGCAAACCGCCAUAGACUUCAAUAGGCAGGCGAAUUUUAAAACCCACAGGGACUCUUUCUGGCCACAAUAGUGAUGGAAAAGUUGUUUCAAGGGGACUAACACCUGGACUGUGGCAUGCCGGAGGGGGAUCCAUGGCUAAACUCCCAUGGAAAAUUACAUAGUUGAUGCAGAGUCUGGUUUUAAUCCAUAAAGGGCAUAAAUCACCUAACAUUCCUAAAUUGUUUGGAAUAACGUGCUUUAAAAAUCAGGUAUGAUGUUGUAUCGAUCAGGUAGUGUAAGGGUUACACCCGCUUCACAGUGCGCAGUGUAAGUGAUAUACCUACCCUGUGACCAUGCUUUGCAGGCCAGGUAUCAGUGGUCAGAUGGACCAUUGCCCCAACACUGUGUGCCAGACAUGCCAUUAUAGCAGACUUAUAUGGCUUUGGCGUUGCUUUUUGGUAAUUAGAAGGCUGCUAAAUGCCGCUGCGCACCACACGUGUUUUAUGCCCAGCAGUGAAGGGGUUAAUUAGGGAGUAUGUAGGCAGCUUGUAGAGUUAAUUUUAGCUUCAGUGUAGUGUAGUAGACAACCCAAAGUAUUGAUCUAGGCCCAUUUUGGUAUAUUUCAUGCCACUAUUUCACCGCCAAAUACGAUCAAAUAAAAAAAAUUUUUUCACUUUUUCACAAACUUUAGGUUUCACAGAAAUUAUUUACAAACAGCUUAUGCAAUUAUGGCAUAAAUGGUUGUAAAUGCUUCUCUGGGAUCCCCUUUGUUCAGAAAUAGCAGACUUAUAUGUCUUUGGCAUUGCUUUUGGUAAUUAGAAGGCUGCUAAAUGCCACUGCGCACCACACGUGUUUUAUGCCCAGCAGUGAAGGAGUUAAUUAGGGAGUAUGUAGGCAGCUUGUAGAGUUAAUUUUAGCUUAAGUGUAGUGUAGUAGACAACCCAAAGUAUUGAUCUAGGCCCAUUUUGGUAUAUUUCAUGCCACCAUUUCACCGCCAAAUGCGAUCAAAUAAAAAAAAAUUGUUCACUUUUUCACAAACUUUAGGUUUCACAGAAAUUAUUUACAAACAACUUAUGCAAUUAUGGCAUAAAUGGUUGUAAAUGCUUCUCUGGGAUCCCCUUUGUUCAGAAAUAGCAGACUUAUAUGGCUUUGGCGUUGCUUUCUGGUAAUUAGAAGGCUGCUAAAUGCCACUGCGCACCACACGUGUUUUAUGCCCAGCAGUGAAGGGGUUAAUUAUGGAGCAUGUAGGUAGCUUGUAGAGUUAAUUUUAGCUUAAGUGUAAUGUAGUAGACAACCCAAAGUAUUGAUCUAGGCCCAUUUUGGUAUAUUUCAUGCCACCAUUUCACCGCCAAAUGCGAUCAAAUAAAAAAAAAUUGUUCACUUUUUCACAAACUUUAGGUUUCACAGAAAUUAUUUACAAACAACUUAUGCAAUUAUGGCAUAAAUGGUUGUAAAUGCUUCUCUGGGAUCCCCUUUGUUCAGAAAUAGCAGACUUAUAUGGCUUUGGCGUUGCUUUUUGGUAAUUAGAAGGCUGCUAAAUGCCACUGCGCACCACACGUGUUUUAUGCCCAGCAGUGAAGGGGUUAAUUAGGGAGCAUGUAGGUAGCUUGUAGAGUUAAUUUUAGCUUAAGUGUAGUGUAGUAGACAACCCAAAGUAUUGAUCUAGGCCUAUUUUGGUAUAUUUAAUGCCACCAUUUCACCGCCAAAUGCGAUCAAAUUUAAAAAAAACUUAAAUUUUUUCGCAAUUUUAGGUUUCUCACUGAUAUUAUUUACAAACAGCUUGUGAAAUUAUGGCACAAAUGGUUGUAAAUGCUUCUCUGGGAUCCCCUUUGUUCAGAAAUAGCAGACAUAUAUGACUUUGGCGUUGCUUUCUGGUAAUUAGAAGGCCGCUAAAUGCUGCUGCGCAUCACACGUGUAUUAUGGCUAGCAGUGAAGGGGUUAAUUAGGUAGUUUGUAGGGAGCUUGCAGGGUUAAUUUUAGCUUUAGUGUAGAGAUCAGCCUCCCACCUGACACAUCAGUCCCCCUGAUCCCUCCCAAACAGCUCCCUUCCCUCCCCCACCCUACAAUUAUCCCCGCCAUCUUAAGUACUGGCAGAAAGUCUGCCAGUACUAAAAUAAAAGGUUUUUAAAAAAUUUUUAAUUUUUUUUAGCAUAUUUACAUAUGCUGUUGUGUAGCAUCCCCCAUUAGCCACCAACAUCCCUGAUCCCCCCCCAAAACAGCUCUCUAACCCUCCCCAUCUGCCUUAUUGGCGGCCAUCUUGGGUACUGGCAGCUGUCUGCUAUUAUUUCACAGUCAAAAAAGUGCUGUUGUUUUUUUAAAUGUACACUACUGUUACACCAGAUAUGAGUGGGGGCACUGGGCAAGUGGGCACAGUAUACGCUGUGAGCCUGACACACACGCUGGCAGGCAGGCAACUGCAAUUAUAUUACACAGGGGGAAAAAAAGCAGACUGAUGUUCUAGCCCUAAAAAGGGCUUUUUGGGGUGCUGUCCUUACAGCAGAGAUCUGAUGAGUCCUUCAGGACUGUAGUGGACACUGAAUACACUAGCCUAGCUAUCGAUUUCCCUAUUAAAUUAGCAGCAGCUACACUGUCCCUCCUCUCACUAAGAAUGCAGCUUCAAAAUGAAUCUAAAAUGGAUGCUGUGCAGGAGGUGGGAGGGUCUGGGAGGGAGGGUCUGCUGCUGAUUGGCUGUAAUGUGUCUUCUGACUGUGAGGUAGAGGGUCAAAGUUUACUCAAUGAUAAAGAAUAGGGGGCGGAUCGAACAUCGCAUAUGUUCGCCCGCCGCGGCGAACGCGAACUGGAACUAUUCGCCGGCGAACUAUUCGCGACAUCACUAGUCUACACUUUUGUGAUAUUUUAGGUGCCUAACUUGCUUGAGGUCAUGUCUAGGCAGUGACUGUUCUUAGGGUGAGGGUAACUCAGUUUUUUACUAAAACCAAUACAGGUCUGAUCACCCACUAAGUACAGUUUUCCUUUUCACUACCUUUGGCAGUUACCGCUACUGAUGUAUUAGCUAGCUCUCCAUUCAGUAUGGUUAAUCACAAGGGCCGGUCCUUUUUUAUAAACGAGAUAUCACUCUAGUUUUUUUCUUUUAUUAUGUAUGAAUUUUUGUUAUGUUUUUUGAUAUUUCCUGCCAGGGUUCUGUCUCAGGUCUGUGCCUAAUAAAUCCAUUACCUUUUGAUAUCAA